rnacentral:rRNA from 1 species
UACGAAGGGGGCUAGCGUUGCUCGGAAUCACUGGGCGUAAAGCGCACGUAGGCGGCUUUUUAAGUCAGAGGUGAAAUCCUGGAGCUCAACUCCAGAACUGCCUUUGAUACUGGAGAGCUUGAGUCCGGGAGAGGUGAGUGGAACUGCGAGUGUAGAGGUGAAAUUCGUAGAUAUCGCAAGAACACCAGUGGCGAAGGCGGCUCACUGGCCCGGUACUGACGCUGAGGUGCGAAAGCGUGGGGAGCAAACAGGG